rnacentral:rRNA from 1 species
GUAGGUGGCAAGCGUUGUCCGGAAUUAUUGGGCGUAAAGCGCGCGCAGGCGGUUCUUUAAGUCUGAUGUGAAAGCCACGGCUCAACCGUGGAGGGUCAUUGGAAACUGGAGAACUUGAGUACAGAAGAGGAAAGCGGAAUUCCACGUGUAGCGGUGAAAUGCGUAGAGAUGUGGAGGAACACCAGUGGCGAAGGCGGCUUUCUGGUCUGUAACUGACGCUGAGGCGCGAAAGCGUGGGGAGCAAACAGGAUUAGAUACCCUGGUAGUCCACGCCGUAAGCGAUGAGUGCUAAGUGUUAGGGGGUUUCCGCCCCUUAGUGCUGCAGCUAACGCAUUAAGCACUCCGCCUGGGAGUACGGCCGCAAGGCUG